AACGUAGGAGACGAACGUUAUCCGGAGUUACUGGGCGUAAAGGGCGUGUAGGCGGUUUGUUAAGUCUGGCGUGAAAGCUCUCGGCUAAACCGGGAGAGGUCGUUGGAUACUGGCGAACUCGAGGAUGGUAGAGGCGUGUGGAAUUCCGGGUGUAGUGGUGAAAUGCGUAGAGAUCCGGAGGAACACCAGUGGCGAAGGCGACUACCUGGCCCAUUCUUGACGCUGAGGCGCGAAAGCUAGGGGAGCGAACGGG
rnacentral:rRNA from 1 species